GCCGUCUUCUCCAUGUUGGGUAGCCGGAGCAAGUCCUGUGCAAGAUUACAGAGCAAAGCAUGCUGGGCUUGGUUUGAAAAAAAAGUAGGCAGAUAACGAAACAGGAAGUUCUGCAUGUAGACUACAGCAAUGCAAAAAGAGAAGGAAAGCGCUGAAAAAACAGGAUCAACUCACGUUUUAAAGCAGGGGUCUCCAGACAUGAGCUGCAUACUGAUCCCAACCUACAGAAAAUACACAGUGUAUGAAAGUAAAUCUAACUAUAGCUCAGGGUAUGUCUACUUCCCAUCUCUGAUGCCUGCUCUGAAUGCAGCUCUGGGGUACAAUACAAUGCAGGAUCAGCCCAGGAUGAGU